CAAUCGACCCUUUUCAGGGCCAACAAAUAUGUUCUAAGGAGUUAUUU
rfam:Aedes aegypti strain Liverpool supercont1.517 genomic scaffold, whole genome shotgun sequence.